GAUGAACGCUGGCGGCGUGCCUAAUACAUGCAAGUCGAGCGAACAGACGAGGAGCUUGCUCCUCUGACGUUAGCGGCGGACGGGUGAGUAACACGUGGAUAACCUACCUAUAAGACUGGGAUAACUUCGGGAAACCGGAGCUAAUACCGGAUAACAUGUUGAACCGCAUGGUUCAACAGUGAAAGACGGUCUUGCUGUCACUUAUAGAUGGAUCCGCGCCGCAUUAGCUAGUUGGUAAGGUAACGGCUUACCAAGGCACGAUGCGUAGCCGACCUGAGAGGGUGAUCGGCCACACUGGAACUGAGACACGGUCCAGACUCCUACGGGAGGCAGCAGUAGGGAAUCUUCCGCAAUGGGCGAAAGCCUGACGGAGCAACGCCGCGUGAGUGAAGAAGGUCCUCGGAUCGUAAAACUCUGUUAUUAGGGAAGAACAAAUGUGUAAGUAACUAUGCACGUCUUGACGGUACCUAAUCAGAAAGCCACGGCUAACUACGUG
rnacentral:rRNA from 1 species